UACUGACUGACCGAUAGUGAACCAGUACCGUGAGGGAAAGGCGAAAAGAACCCCGGAGAGGGGAGUGAAAUAGAACCUGAAACCGUAUGCGUACAAGCAGUGGGAGCCUACUUGUUAGGUGACUGCGUACCUUUUGUAUAAUGGGUCAGCGACUUAUAUUCAGUGGCAAGCUUAACCGUAUAGGGUAGGCGUAGCGAAAGCGAGUCUUAAUAGGGCGUUUAGUCGCUGGGUAUAGACCCGAAACCGGGCGAUCUAUCCAUGAGCAGGUUGAAGGUUAGGUAACACUGACUGGAGGACCGAACCCACUCCCGUUGAAAAGGUAGGGGAUGACUUGUGGAUCGGAGUGAAAGGCUAAUCAAGCUCGGAGAUAGCUGGUUCUCCUCGAAAGCUAUUUAGGUAGCGCCUCAUGUAUCACUCUGGGGGGUAGAGCACUGUUUCGGCUAGGGGGUCAUCCCGACUUACCAAACCGAUGCAAACUCCGAAUACCCAGAAGUGCCGAGCAUGGGAGACACACGGCGGGUGCUAACGUCCGUCGUGAAAAGGGAAACAACCCAGACCGCCAGCUAAGGUCCCAAAGUUGUGGUUAAGUGGUAAACGAUGUGGGAAGGCUUAGACAGCUAGGAGGUUGGCUUAGAAGCAGCCACCCUUUAAAGAAAGCGUAAUAGCUCACUAGUCGAGUCGGCCUGCGCGGAAGAUGUAACGGGGCUCAAACCACACACCGAAGCUGCGGGUGUCACGCAAGUGACGCGGUAGAGGAGCGUUCUGUAAGCCUGUGAAGGUGAGUUGAGAAGCUUGCUGGAGGUAUCAGAAGUGCGAAUGCUGACAUGAGUAACGACAAUGGGUGUGAAAAACACCCACGCCGAAAGACCAAGGGUUCCUGCGCAACGUUAAUCGACGCAGGGUUAGUCGGUUCCUAAGGCGAGGCUGAAAAGCGUAGUCGAUGGGAAACAGGUUAAUAUUCCUGUACUUCUGGUUACUGCGAUGGAGGGACGGAGAAGGCUAGGCCAGCUUGGCGUUGGUUGUCCAAGUUUAAGGUGGUAGGCUGAAAUCUUAGGUAAAUCCGGGGUUUCAAGGCCGAGAGCUGAUGACGAGUCGUCUUUUAGAUGACGAAGUGGUUGAUGCCAUGCUUCCAAGAAAAGCUUCUAAGCUUCAGGUAACCAGGAACCGUACCCCAAACCGACACAGGUGGUCGGGUAGAGAAUACCAAGGCGCUUGAGAGAACUCGGGUGAAGGAACUAGGCAAAAUGGCACCGUAACUUCGGGAGAAGGUGCGCCGGCUAGGGUGAAGGAUUUACUCCGUAAGCUCUGGCUGGUCGAAGAUACCAGGCCGCUGCGACUGUUUAUUAAAAACACAGCACUCUGCAAACACGAAAGUGGACGUAUAGGGUGUGACGCCUGCCCGGUGCCGGAAGGUUAAUUGAUGGGGUUAGCGCAAGCGAAGCUCUUGAUCGAAGCCCCGGUAAACGGCGGCCGUAACUAUAACGGUCCUAAGGUAGCGAAAUUCCUUGUCGGGUAAGUUCCGACCUGCACGAAUGGCGUAACGAUGGCGGCGCUGUCUCCACCCGAGACUCAGUGAAAUUGAAAUCGCUGUGAAGAUGCAGUGUAUCCGCGGCUAGACGGAAAGACCCCGUGAACCUUUACUGUAGCUUUGCACUGGACUUUGAGCCUGCUUGUGUAGGAUAGGUGGGAGGCUUUGAAGCGUGGACGCCAGUUCGCGUGGAGCCAUCCUUGAAAUACCACCCUGGCAUGCUU
rnacentral:rRNA from 1 species